rnacentral:rRNA from 1 species
CCCUUAGAUGUCCUGGGCCGCACGCGCGCUACACUGAUGCAUUCAACGAGUUCACCUUGGCCGAGAGGCCUGGGCAAUCUUUUGAACGUGCAUCGUGAUAGGGAUAGAUUAUUGCAAUUUUUAAUCUUGAACGAGGAAUUCCUAGUAAACGCAGAUCAUCAAUCUGCAUUGAUUACGUCCCUGCCCUUUGUACACACCGCCCGUCGCACCUACCGAUUGAAUGGUCCGGUGAAGCCUCGGGAUUGCGAUUAGUUCUCUUUAUUGAGAGUUAGUCACAAGAACUUGUCUAAACCUUAUCAUUUAGAGGAAGGUGAAGUCGUANCA